UUCAUUCAUUUAUUGAGCUUACCAAUUUCAUCGAGAUCGUUUUCAUCUAAAUCAAUCGCAAAUCUCAAUCUCAAUCCUGCUGAAUCGUUGAUCGUUUUCAUCGAUUUGCCGGUACCUGCGAGAUUGAGAUCAAUCCUGCUGAAUCGUUCAUCGUUUUCAUCGAUUUGCUGGAACCCUAGCUCCUCUGUUCAUUCAUUGAUUUGCUGAUUUAUCCUCGUCUAUUUUAAUGAUGUCUACUACUGUCGAUGGAGUUCGUAUCUGUCCAACUACUGGUAAUCAGUAUUAUACUCCUAUUGUUCCAGAUUCUUCCAAACCUGUAGUUGGUAUGCAUUUCCAGUCAAUUGAUUCUGCCUUUAAUUUCUAUAAGAAGUAUGCUAAGUUAUCUGGGUU